CCAUAGAUGACCACGUUGAAAACACCGGUUCCCAUCCAAUCACCGAAGUUAAGCAAUGUCGGGCCUGGUCAGUAUUUGGGAGGGUGACCACCUGGGAACACCGGGUGCUGUAGGCU